CUCUCUCUCUCUCCUAUCCCUCCUCUCCAUCUCCCUAUUGCAUUGUGUCUGACUGAUUUUCAGAGCACCUUCGCUGUUUCUCUCUCUCUCUCUCUCUCUCUCUCUCUCUCUCUCUCAUUCUCUUUCUGUAAAAUAUCUAGACAGGAAGGAGGUGGCUGCAGGAGCUGAACAAACAAUCUCACAUUCUGCCUGCAAUGUCAUCGUUCUCUCCCUCAUUUUAGGGGGGUGAAGUUACCCAGGAAGGGAUGCAGAGGAGCUGAAAAGGAAGGGGGGGUUCUCCAGAGGCUGCUGCGGUCAGGGGCAGGGACUGCCACCAGAUGUGCCUGCCUUUCUAGGCUUUGAUUCGAAAGGGACAGCAGGAGGAAAUAUUGAGAGACAAAAGCCUCGGUUUAAAUGAUCAUUUUCUUUAUUUAAUAUGGCAGCAGACACACUCUGCAUAGGAUCAUCGUUCCGAGCACAAACUGGACUUUCCUACUUGCCUGACAGGAGUCACACAGAUCCCUGUUUGCUAAAUGAGCAUCCGAG
rnacentral:lncRNA from 1 species